ACGAACGCUGGCGGCGUGCUUAACACAUGCAAGUCGCACGGAAAGGCCCUGCUUUUGUGGGGUGCUCGAGUGGCGAACGGGUGAGUAACACGUGAGUAACCUGCCCUUGACUUUGGGAUAACUUCAUGAAACUGGGGCUAAUACCGGAUAGGAGCUCCUGCUGCCUGGUGGGGGUUGGAAAGUUUCGGCGGUUGGGGAUGGACUCGCGGCUUAUCAGCUUGUUGGUGGGGUAGUGGCUUACCAAGGCUUUGACGGGUAGCCGGCCUGAGAGGGUGACCGGCCACAUUGGGACUGAGAUACGGCCCAGACUCCUACGGGAGGCAGCAGUGGGGAAUAUUGCACAAUGGGCGGAAGCCUGAUGCAGCAACGCCGCGUGCGGGAUGACGGCCUUCGGGUUGUAAACCGCUUUCGCCUGUGACGAAGCGUGAGUGACGGUAAUGGGUAAAGAAGCACCGGCUAACUACGUG
rnacentral:rRNA from 1 species